AAUGUAAAGGGCGAUGGAGUUCGCCAGAUGUGCUACUAGGCUAAUGACUCCUACCGGAAA
rnacentral:ncRNA from 2 species